rnacentral:rRNA from 1 species
UGGGGAAUAUUGCAACAUGGGCGAAAGCCUGAUGCAGCAACGCCGCGUGAGUGAUGAAGGCCUUCGGGUUGUAAAGCUCUGUCUUUUGGGACGAUAAUGACGGUACCAAAGGAGGAAGCCACGGCUAACUACGUGCCAGCAGCCGCGGUAAUACGUAGGUGGCAAGCGUUGUCCGGAUUUACUGGGCGUAAAGGAUGCGUAGGCGGAUUUUUAAGUGAGAUGUGAAAUACCCGGGCUUAACUUGGGUGCUGCAUUUCAAACUGGGAAUCUAGAGUGCGGGAGAGGAGAAUGGAAUUCCUAGUGUAGCGGUGAAAUGCGUAGAGAUUAGGAAGAACACCAGUGGCGAAGGCGAUUCUCUGGACCGUAACUGACGUCGAGC